CUUUCUUCUCUGCAACUUUACGCGUUUCACAGAAAUCUUUACAUCAGAAAUAUUAAAUAUUAGUCUGCCACCAGCCCGUUUUAUUUAGCGGUGCGGAGUUAAAUCUGUGUGGUGAAGCUGAGCGGGAGAGGGUUGUCGGUAUACGAUCCGUCCACCUGCACGAUCCGCUCUACGCAUGCGUAGUAGACUCUUUUAGAAAACGCACAUGCGCAAAUGGUAUGUUUACGACGCUGCACGAUUCGUUCCACGCAUGGAAUUUGUACCGCGAGACUUAAUUCCAUAGACAGUAAAAGCUUAAUUCCCUCACAGCGAAAGAAAAUGGAGUUCAGCGGAAGAAAUGAGAAGUUUGCCCUUUCUCACGAAUGGCUGCACAUUUCGUUAUAAGAGAAAAUAAAUUAUUCUACACUGGCCCCAGUGCACAAUUCAUGAGACUGGUUGUGCUGUCUGAUGAGCAGAGGCGGGCUGUCCUGGAGGAGUGCCACAACAACCCUGGCACAGGGAACCAUGCGACCAUGGACAGGGUUGUUAUGGGGUACUACUGGGAUAGCAUAAAGGCAGAUGUGGCAGAUUGGGUCAAUAGCUGUCACAGAUGCCAAAAGAACGACCCCAUAAAGACGGUGUCUCCUGCCCUUCACCCUAUUAAGGUGAAAGAGCCAUGGCUCUGAGGUUGCUGAGGCACUUGUGUCAAAGCUCUACACAUUUGGUAUGGUCCGGAAAAUCAUCACUGACAGGGGCCGUGCAUUUGUUAACGAGCUUAAUGCACACAUAUUUGUGGCGCUGAACAUCAAGCAUGCAAUUACAAGUGCUUACCAUCCCCAGUCAAACAGCCAAGAUGAGAGAACUAAUCAAAAUGUAAAGAGGACUCUCAGAAAAUAUGUGAAUCAGCACCAUGAUGAUUGGGACAUCCACCUGCAGGCCAUAGUUUAUGGAAUAAACACUGCAAAACAGAGAUCCACCAAGUACAGCCCGUACUUUUUAAUUUACAAUAGGCACCCCCGUCUACCACAGGCAUGCCUUUGAAUUGGCAGACCCAGAGGAGGAGCUGGAGCUAAAACUAGCUGGAGUCAAGGCCCUUAAUGAAACGGUACGGGAAAACAUUGAAAAGGCACAGGGGAAACAAAAAAAGGGUUUUGAGGCAAAAAAAAAAGGAAAGGGGUUCGCCAGUGCUCACUUAAGGCAGGGGACGAGGUCCUAAUUGGGGAGCCCAAAAAGAAGGUGAAGAAGGGAAAUUGUUUGCAGGAUCUCCACCAAGGGCCAUUCACCCUCACAUCCCUGACAGAGAAGGGUGUGGCAAGUGUGGCUAUGUUAGGGAAAAUUAAAAGUUAAUGUUGCGCAGCUAAGGCCCUACUUUCAGCCACAAGGUAUUGUAAUAAUCCUAUUUGGUGACAUAGCAAAUAUAAACAUGACACUUGACAAUGACGAUUAGUAUUUACUUUCCUGUUGUGUAGAUCAUGGCCAUGAAUCUGAGGGCAGCCAAAACAAUGCAGAAGACAUUGGACUGGUGGACCACCAGUAUGCCAAUAAAGGUCCACUGUGGUCCAAGAGGUUGUAAAAGUAAAAGCCUUGUUCUCUGGCUUCAGUUUUGCAUUAUUUUUUUUUUUACAGACAACUUGCACGAGAAGUGGCUAAUGGACCGUGGGUGGAGAAGACGGGCAAAGAUUUUGAUCCAUUUCCAGUUCAGUCAGAUGGACAGAGAUGUGGGAUAUUCAUGAUUAUGUAUGCCCUCUGCAUCUGUACUGGUGCCAUGUUUCACUUUUUGGAUGAGGAACCGGUAAAAGUGGAGGAGCUGCCCCUCACAUUGAAACAUAUGUACGAGGCAGAAUACAUUGUGAGGAACAGUGUUGGGCUUUUCACUGGCCAGAUGCAAGAGCCAACAUACAUGUUCAUGGAUCAUGAUGACCGAAGGGAAGCAUGGAGGGUGCUGGAGUCAAUGCAGUGCGAUGCUAUGGAGCCCUUCACAUUCAUUUUUGAAAAAAUCAAGGACAUGGAAACCAUUAUGAUUAUUUGCAAAGACACCCUCAACCUGAGAGUAAAUGCUGGAGUUGGCCUGCACAGUGACCCACACUCUGUGUGUGUGUGUGUGUGAGAGAGAGAUAGAGAGAGGGUAGGGGAGUGUGUGUGUGUGUGUGUGAGGGUGAGUGUGUGAGAGAGAGGGGAAGGGAGUGGGUGGGAGAGGCUGAGAGUGUUUGUGUGUGUGAGAGAGAAAGCCAGAGAUAAUUUUUACUCUUAAAUAAAACUUCUGUGUG